rnacentral:tRNA from 1 species
GUCCAGGGUAGCCUAGUGGUCAUGGAAUCUGGACCCGGUAAGCGGAAGGUCGAGGGUUCGAUUCCCAUCCCUUUACA